rnacentral:rRNA from 1 species
UGGGGAAUAUUGGACAAUGGGGGCAACCCUGAUCCAGCAAUGCCGCGUGUGUGAAGAAGGUCUUCGGAUUGUAAAGCACUUUCGACGGGGACGAUGAUGACGGUACCCGUAGAAGAAGCCCCGGCUAACUUCGUGCCAGCAGCCGCGGUAAUACGAAGGGGGCUAGCGUUGCUCGGAAUGACUGGGCGUAAAGGGCGUGUAGGCGGUUUACACAGUCAGACGUGAAAUCCCCGGGCUUAACCUGGGAGCUGCAUUUGAUACGUGUAGACUAGAGUGUGAGAGAGGGUUGUGGAAUUCCCAGUGUAGAGGUGAAAUUCGUAGAUAUUGGGAAGAACACCGGUGGCGAAGGCGGCAACCUGGCUCAUGACUGACGCUGAGGCGCGAAAGCGUGGGGAGCAAACAGGAUUAGAUACCCUGGUAGUCCACGCUGUAAACGAUGUGUGCUAGAUGUUGGGUAACUUUGUUAUUCAGUGUCGCAGUUAACGCGUUAAGCACACCGC